rnacentral:sRNA from 1 species
UGUAUGCGAUCUGCCAGUUCUGCUAAGUC